rnacentral:misc_RNA from 1 species
CUUAAGCUUCAAAAUGCCACUUUUUUCUUUAAUGUUUCUGAUAUUCUUUAGUUAGUCUUGUUAGGGUCUUUGGGAUUUAAUUUAGCUCCUUCUACAAGGGAUCUUGGAGAAAGAGAAAGGAGAGAGGGAGUGAGGAGGAAAGGAGAGAAAGAGAGGAAAAAGGUUCUUGAGGGAAGGUUUUAAAGAAAAGGGGAAAUCUUAAGAGAGAAAAGGAAAAAAAAAAAAAUUCUAUUGCCC